UACAGAGGGUGCAAGCGUUGUUCGGAAUUAUUGGGCGUAAAGAGCUCGUAGGCGGCCUGUUGCGUCCGCUGUGAAAUCCCGGGGCUCAACCCCGGGCGUGCAGUGGAUACGGGCUGGCUGGAGGCAGGCAGGGGAGAACGGAAUUCCUGGUGUAGCGGUGAAAUGCGCAGAUAUCAGGAGGAACACCGGUGGCGAAGGCGGGUCUCUGGGCAGUAACUGACGUGAGGAGCGAAAAGCGUGGGGGAGCGAACAGG
rnacentral:rRNA from 1 species